AUUGCACAAUGGGCGCAAGCCUGAUGCAGCGACGCCGCGUGAGGGAUGACGGCCUUCGGGUUGUAAACCUCUUUCGCCAGGGACGAAGCGCAAGUGACGGUACCUGGAGAAGAAGCACCGGCCAACUACGUGCCAGCAGCCGCGGUAAUACGUAGGGUGCGAGCGUUGUCCGGAAUUACUGGGCGUAAAGAGCUCGUAGGUGGUUUGUCGCGUUGUUCGUGAAAACUCACAGCUUAACUGUGGGCGUGCGGGCGAUACGGGCAGACUGGAGUACUGCAGGGGAGACUGGAAUUCCUGGUGUAGCGGUGGAAUGCGCAGAUAUCAGGAGGAACACCGGUGGCGAAGGCGGGUCUCUGGGCAGUAACUGACGCUGAGGAGCGAAAGCGUGGGGAGCGAACAGGAUUAGAUACCCUGGUAGUCCACGCCGUAAACGGUGGGUACUAGGUGUGGGUUUCCUUCCUUGGGAUCCGUGCCGUAGCUAACGCAUUAAGUACCCCGCCUGGGGAGUACGGCCGCAAGGCUAAAACUCAAAGGAAUUGACGGGGGCCCGCACAAGCGGCGGAGCAUGUGGAUUAAUUCGAUGCAACGCGAAGAACCUUACCUGGGUUUGACAUGCACAGGACGCCGGCAGAGAUGUCGGUUCCCUUGUGGCCUGUGUGCAGGUGGUGCAUGUGCG
rnacentral:rRNA from 1 species